UACGUAGGGGGCAAGCGUUGUCCGGAAUUAUUGGGCGUAAAGCGCGUGUAGGCGGCUCGGUAAGUCUGCUGUGAAAGUCCAGGGCUCAACCCUGGAAUGCCGGUGGAUACUGUCGAGCUCGAGUCCGGAAGAGGCGAGUGGAAUUCCUGGUGUAGCGGUGAAAUGCGCAGAUAUCGGGAGGAACACCUGUGGCGAAGGCGACCCCUGGUUCGGAUACUGACGCUGAGCACGCGAAAGCGUGGGGAGCAAACAGG
rnacentral:rRNA from 1 species